AACUGUAGAGUUGCGGUGUCCGCAGCAACUCACAACGUUCCCCCUCGUUUUAGUUGGUGAUAUAAAUCAUCAUCAUAGUUGGCGAAAAACUUCCGUCGAAUCGCCAAGUGCUUGCGGUUCCGUUUUACAAUACGCGUGAAGUAAAAAUGACAACAAAUGAAAGUGCUAAUCUGGCGCUUCGCGAAUGCAUUAUCUUUUGGGAAAGAGCAAGAAUAUCCACAAAAUCUUUGCGUUACUGUGUAAAGAAGCUACUAUGCUUACAUCAAGCUCUCAUAACUCCAUGAUAACCGAAAGUGGUCAGCCUGAAAACAUAAAAAGACGUGGUAGCAAAAACUUAAUCACUCCGAAGCUCGUGGCUGCCUUAGAUAGGUGCCAGCAUAGUGUAAGGGACUCUGUUUACGUUCUUCAAGCUACUGUAGAGGCACUUGGUUACAAUUUUGAUGAGCUUAGUAUUAACAAGUCUACCAUUCAACGAAUUCAUACAGAAAGUCGGAUGAAACGCGCGAUAGUGAUAAAAGAGGAUUUCAAAAAUAAUAUCCCAGAAGUUGUCAGUCUGCACUGGGAUGGAAAGCUUUUACCAGCUCUAGAUGCUCGAAGCUGUAAGGAGGAACGUCUUCCAAUUGUAAUCGCAUAUGAAAAUACCGAACAACUCAUUUCAGUGCCACAUCUGCAAAGUUCGACAGGUAAAGAGCAAGCACAAGCUGUUUGGAAUGCGACCUCAAAUGGAAUCUUGUAGAUUGUGUACAAAUUCUUUGUUUUGAUACAACAGAUUCAAACACAGGUCGGUUUAACGGUGGCGACAUUGGACGGGAACAGAAAGCAAGACAUCCUGGCGCGAUGCAUCAAGCUCGUUGGAUGGCACGACCCAUUUACACCUUAAAAAUGUCAAUUUUAAGCUCUCAGCUCAAGCUCACUCAAAAAUAAAUCGCAGCUAUAUACGACCUGUCAUUGUUCGUAGUAUCUACCUAUAUGAAACCAUGGCUUGAAAGUUCCUCGGCUGUGAAAGCACCGUAUCAGGAUUUAUGCUUUUUAAAAUCCUUGAAAGAAUAUUAAACUAUCGAUGAAGCUAUAGCAAAAUUUGGUCAUCAUUUAUGGUAUCUACAUGAUGAAAUAUCGGCUCUCUCACUUUUUGAUGACGACGUUACUUUUGAUGUAAAGGAAAGAAUGGUCACAAAUUUGACUAAACAAAAUAGAACCAGCUUAGGAAAACGAUAUGUACCAUCGAUGGAAGAUCUUAACGGUGCACUUUUUGACAAACAUAUGGACGAUUUUAUAUCUUUAAAAAGCAGGACAUCAUUUGAUCGCCUUAAAAUUGAUGACAGUUUUUUGAGUCUGUGCCCUUCAUCAUGGAACAGUAACCCAUCUUAUUUAAAAAGCAAGACGAGUCUUUCAUUACUUAAGGCAGUAAAUGAUACAGCAGAAAGAGCUGUGAAAUUGAAAUAUAUUCCAAAUAAAAUGUUAGAACUGCGUUCAUUGGUUAAAAUUUUACCUUUCACAUAUGUACAAUUUUGAGUGUGAUUCGGCAUUGGUUAAUGACAAAAUUUUCAAAUAAUAUUUAGAACACAUAUACUUUAUGGCAAAAAGAAAAAAUAAGAGGGUAUGCGGGAUUGAAUUCGAAAAAAAAAAAUUCCCCCAUAUAAGGGACACUAAUAUACAUAUACACUAGUCGGCAUAAUUAUUUUGACGAAGUAAAAAUCGUGUAUUUUUUAGCAUAACUUUUUUGUGACUUUAUUAAGAAUUUUUGAUUUAUUUAUCUUUUAAAUAUAUAACUAAUAGAAACUUAAAAAUAAGGAAACAAAUAUAUUUUCAUUCAAACUUAAAAAGAUUUUAAUUAAUAAGUAGUUUCACAGUAUGGCAUAAGUAUUUUGACAAGAUUGUUUAAUUUAAAUAACAAAGUUUAAACUUUACAAAAGUGAAUGAAUUAAGCAAAAUUCAAUAAAAUAUAUAUCCUCCUUUAGCUUCAAUAACUUUUUUGAGUCGCCGUGUUACAGAAUCCACUAAAUUUUGAAGGAUCUCCGGAGAUACCGCUUGCCAAAGGGAAGUGAGCUCAUAAAUUGUCUUUUCUCUCGUAUUGUUGAACGAAACUGUUCUUUUGCGUUUUAAAACAAACCAGACGUUUUCAAUAAUAUUCAAAUCUGGACUUUGAGGAGGCCAGUUCAAGGUGGUAACACCAACAUCCCUCAAAAAUGUGGUAAUCAUACGGGCUUUGUGGCCUGGGGCAUUAUCCUGUUGCAGGAUUAAUGACUCUCCAAUUAGCGUAUUACCGGAGGGGAAUGCGUGUUCAUGUAGGGUGUAUAAAUAAUUGCCCUGGUUCAUAGGAAUUGCCGGUGAUAGGAAUAAAGUCUCCUAGCCCACUGUAUGCAACACAUCCCCAAAACAUGACAGAACCUCCGCCACGGCUCACUUUUUUACAAACCGUUUACUUUUUCUUUGCUUUGUUGGCAUUCUUAUGAAAACUUUAGUUUUUUAUGAGUUAUACUCAAAUGAGCUUUUAUCAGUCCACAAAACGCUUCUCAAGAACUUCUUUAGCUUAUGCACAUACUCCUUUGCAAAAGCCAGUCUUUUUAGUUUGUUUGCCUUUGUCAUAAACGGCACGUCCUUGGACUUAGAGGUAUUAAAAUGUCAUUCCUUUAAACGUCGUCCGGCUGCGUUAACUGAUUGGGUUCUCUGCGGUCAAGUUGAAGAGUCUGCAGCAAUUUGAGGCUUCAGAAACACAUUUUUUGUAAGUGCGCGUAGAAGGACUCGGACUUCAGUUGGAGUUGUUUUACGCUUGGCGCAUUAUCUGGUUAAAUUUCUGAAACCAUUAUGUUUUUUAAACUUAUUAAAUUUAUAGUGAACAGUUUCGUUCAACAAUACGAGAGAAAAGACGAUUUAUGAGCUCACUUCCCUUUGGCAAGCGGUAUCUCCGGAGAUCCUUCAAAAUUUAGUGGAUUCUGUAACACGGCGAAUCUAAAAAGUUAUUGAAGCUAAAGGAGGAUAUAUAUUUUAUUAAAUUUUGCUUAAUUCAUUCACUUUUGUAAAGUUUAAACUUUGUUAUUUAAAUUAACCAAUCUUUUCAAAAUACUU